ACAUUUAUGAUAAAAUAAAUUAUUUGUUCCAAACAGGACAUUUAUCAAAGGAGCACUAUCAGCCACUGCAUCAAAUGGAGGGACUACACAAAGAUUUGGUUAGGGAGACUACUGAUGGUGAACUAGCAGCUGCAACAAAUAUGAGAGUUACAAAGGUGAAAAGAAACAUAAGGCGGUCGGUAAGAUAAGAUGCAUGAUUUUCUUUUUCAACUGUUAGUCAUAGAUUGACAGUACUUGUUUCAAUUUUCUUGGAUGGA